rnacentral:rRNA from 1 species
GAUGAACGCUGGCGGCGUGCCUAAUACAUGCAAGUCGAGCGAACAGAUGAGGAGCUUGCUCCUCUGACGUUAGCGGCGGACGGGUGAGUAACACGUGGAUAACCUACCUAUAAGACUGGGAUAACUACGGGAAACCGGAGCUAAUACCGGAUAAUAUAUUGAACCGCAUGGUUCAAUAGUGAAAGACGGUUUUGCUGUCACUUAUAGAUGGAUCCGCGCCGCAUUAGCUAGUUGGUAAGGUAACGGCUUACCAAGGCAACGAUGCGUAGCCGACCUGAGAGGGUGAUCGGCCACACUGGAACUGAGACACGGUCCAGACUCCUAAGGGAGGCAGCAGUAGGGAAUCUUCCGGAAUGGGCGAAAGCCUGACGGAGCAACGCCGCGUGAGUGAUGAAGGUCUUCGGAUCGUAAAACUCUGUUAUUAGGGAAGAACAAAUGUGUAAGUAACUAUGCACGUCUUGACGGUACCUAAUCAGAAAGCCACGGCUAAAUACGUG